rnacentral:rRNA from 1 species
UACAGAGGGUGCGAGCGUUGUUCGGAAUUACUAGGCGUAAAGCGUGUGUAGGUGGCUGCGAAAGUCGGAUGUGAAAGCCCUGGGCUCAACUCAGGAAGUGCACCCGAUACUGCGUAGCUCGAGUACCGGAGAGGUUGGUAGAAUUCUCGGUGUAGAGGUGAAAUUCGUAGAUAUCGAGAGGAAUACCUGUGGCGAAGGCGGCCAACUGGACGAGUACUGACACUGAGACACGAAAGCGUGGGGAGCAAACAGG